rnacentral:piRNA from 1 species
UACCAGGUAACACAGGAUGCAGACGGUGU